AUACUGUACAAAACGUCUCAAGAAAACGCUGAAGUCAGUCCGCACCGCCGUGCGCCCGUGCGCCCGGAGGUCCCCAGGAGCUCCCGGGAGGGAGAGGCGGGGGCGGGGGCGUGCGCGUGCCGCCCGCGCCCCGCUCCGCGCAGGAGCGCCGAGGGGUCCGUGCCGGGGCCGGGCCGCGGUGUCCCCGCGUCCCUAGAUGUGCGUCAGGGGCACCGUGCCGUUGACGCCCGCGCCCGCGCCCUGGUAGUGCUGCGGCAGCGAGUGCAGCCGGCUCUGCGCCGCCGCGGCCGCCGCGGCCGCCGGGUCUCCGGUCUCCCCGCCGGGCAAGUACAUGCUGAUCAUCUCGCGCAGGUCCCCGGGGCACGGCGCCCGCGAGUGCGCGGGGGCAGGGGGGCUGCCGCUCGGCUCGGACUUGACGAGCGAGCCCAGCGCGCCCAGGGCGCCCGACGACGCGGCCGCCGCGGCCGCCGCGGCCGCCACUGCCGAGUUCUGGUGCGCGCCGCCCGCGGCGGCGGCGGCGGCGGCCGCGGCGCCGUAGGGGAGGCCGCCGUAGCCCGAGGGCGAGGCGCUCAUGUAGCCCUGCGAGUUGGAGAUGGGGCUGUACUGCAGCGCGCCCAUGUCGUAGCGGUGCAUGGGCUGCGGGUUGUGCGGGUGCGCGUGCGGGUGGUGCGGGUGCGGGUGCGCCGGGUGCGCGUGCGGGUGCGGGUGCGGGUGCGCGCCGCCCGCGCCCGGGUGCUGCCCGUAGGCCAGCUGCGCCUCCUGCAUCAUGGCCGCGGCCGCCGCCGCCGCCGCCACCGAGCCGGGGUAGGCGCCGUUGGCCCAGCCGUUGACGUGCGCGUAGCCGCCGCCCGCCGCGCCGCCCGGGCUCUCCAGGCGCUGGCCCACGGCCGCCGCGCCCACGCCCACGCCCACGCCCACGCCCAUGGCCACGGCCGCGCCGCCGCCGCCCGCGCCCGCCGCCAGCAGCCCGCCGGCCAGCGAGUACUUGUCCUUCUUGAGCAGCGUCUUGGUCUUGCGGCGCGGCCGGUACUUGUAAUCCGGGUGCUCCUUCAUGUGCAGCGCGCGCAGCCGCUUGGCCUCGUCGAUGAACGGCCGCUUCUCGGCCUCGGACAUGACCUUCCACUCGGCGCCCAGGCGCUUGCUGAUCUCCGAGUUGUGCAUCUUGGGGUUCUCCUGGGCCAUCUUGCGCCGCUGCCCGCGCGACCACACCAUGAAGGCGUUCAUGGGCCGCUUGACCCGGUCCUGGCUGGCCUUGGCGACCCCGCCGCCGCCGCCGCCGCCGCCGCCCCCGCCGCCCCCGCCGCCCCCGCCGCCGCCGGCCCCGGCCGGGCCCGACAGGUUCGUGGGGGCCUGGGCGCCGCCAGGCGAGUGCAGGUCGGUCUCCAUCAUCAUGCUGUACAUCGGGGCGGCCCGCGGGUUCACCGGCACCGCGCGGGGAGGGCCCGGGGCAUAGAAGAGUCGGCCGCGGGGUGGGGGGCGGACAGGGGCUCGGUCGAACGGAGCGGGACGUGGGGCGGGGGAGAGGUCCUACCGCAGAGAAGAGCGGGGGGAGGCGGAGGCAACCACGGGACGAGAGGCGGCGGCACACGCCCUCGGCGCAGGUCCGGCUCGCAGGUGCAAAGUUUCUCCUCGCGCCCAAGCGCCCAAACCACUUGCCGAGGGGGGCGAUGGCCGGGGUCGCCGUCGCCGCAGCCCGGUCGCCUCGGCGGAGCGGUGCAAACAGGUGCAGUCGUGCCCAAGUUGCGGCUCCACUUUUCGGGACGCGAGCGGGGCGCGGGGCCUGGCCCGGGGCUGCCCGCCUCCUCCUCGCCGGCCGCCGCCGCCGCCGCGCGCUGCCGCCUUCCUCCUGCACCGGGUCCUCAGCGGCCUCCAACUCCGGGCUGCAACUUCUAG
rnacentral:lncRNA from 1 species